UGAGAACACGAAUGUGGAUUCUGUCAAGUAGUUGGCAGAGGAAGCCUAGCUCCCAACUCCAAGCAGCCACACCACAAAUGCCGUCACCUUCAGGCUGUAUUUUGUGCCCUCUCUGAGGUAUGUUCACAUGAGAAAUGAAGACAUAAGUCUACAUGCAAAAAAAAAAAAGGUUCAUGAAUGCUUGUGGCAGCUUUAGUUGUCAUCUUCAGAACUGGAAACAACCUAAUGUCCAGUGUCUGGUGAAUGGAGAAACCAUAGUAAAUCCAUAAAAUGGAAUACUACUCAACAAUAGAAAGGACUAAAGUACUGAUAGAAACAGCAAUAUGGAUGGAUUUCACAAGAAUUAUGACUACCUGAGGAUUGCAAGCAAAAGUGGAAGAGCUGGGUCAGCCAUUGUCAUCCAGGGACUAGUCCUCCUGCAAUUGCUUUAAAUAUUCUAACUGCCUACCACGAAAGAAGACACAUCAUCUUCUCUAUUCAGUGCCAUAGCCUCAGAGUCUAGGACAGUGCCUGACGCAGAGGAGCCCUCAGCUUCAGAAAGUAGAGCAAGAUUGUCUCAUCUUUCUUGUUAAGAAGUCCAAAAAUCACAGAGAAGGGUCUGAUUGGCCCAACGUGGGUCAGGUGCCCACCCUUAGACCAAUCAACUGAGGCCAGAAGGACAGAGGUAUGCUGUAUAAAACACCUGCUUCUCGUUAGCUGUAAUGAGAGGAGGAAGAGGAGCUGGAGCCAGACAAUCCAACUGACAUCCACUAUGAUUCAUGAGAAUCCUUUUUAACACCAGAUUAGAAACUGGUCAUUUAUCUAUAGUGACCAUCUUAAGCUUUCAAAAUACCCAUAAUAACCUUGUAAUCUCAAAGUUGAGACAUCCUUAUGUUACUUGUGAAAUUGUUAUAUACAGUUUUGGGAGACAAAAAAUAACAUUGAAGAAUAAAUACAUAAAAUUUAGUUUGCAAUAAAAAUGCCA